AUAGGGGAGGCGUAGGGAAACCGAGUCUUAAUAGGGCGUAUAGUUGCUAGGAUUAGACCCGAAACCGGGCGAUCUACCCAUGGCCAGGUUGAAGGUUGAGUAACAUCAACUGGAGGACCGAACCCACUUAUGUUGAAAAAUGCGGGGAUGAGCUGUGGGUCGGAGUGAAAGGCUAAUCAAGCUCGGAGAUAGCUGGUUCUCCUCGAAAUCUAUUUAGGUAGAGCCUCAUGAAUAACCACUGGGGGUAAAGCACUGUGUCGGCUAGGGGGUCAUCCCGACUUACCAACCCGAUGCAAACUCUGAAUACCAGUGAGUUUUAUCAUGGGAGACAGACGGCGGGUGCUAACGUCCGUCGUCGAAAGGGAAACAACCCAGACCACCAGCUAAGGUCCCUAAUAUCAGUUAAGUGGGAAACGAUGUGGGAAGGCUCAGACAGCUAGGAGGUUGGCUUAGAAGCAGCCAUCCUUUAAAGAAAGCGUAAUAGCUCACUAGUCGAGUCGGCCUGCGCGGAAGAUUUAACGGGGCUAAACUGGUAACCGAAGCUGCGGAUGCUUACUUCCUUCGGGUUGUAGGCAUGGUAGAGGAGCGUUCUGUAAGCCGUUGAAGGUGAACCGGGAGGUUUGCUGGAGGUAUCAGAAGUGCGAAUGCUGACAUGAGUAACGAUAAGGGGAGUGAAAAACUCCCCCGCCGGAAGAUCAAGGUUUCCUGUCCAACGCUAAUCGGGACAGGGUGAGUCGGCCCCUAAGGCGAGGCAGAAAUGCGUAGUCGAUGGGAAGCGGGUUAACAUUCCCGCACUUCUUAUUAUUGCGAUGGAGGGACGGAGUAGGCUAGGCCAUCAGGGCGUUGGUUGUCCCUGUUUAAGGUUGUAGGUCAGUAUCUUAGGUAAAUCCGGGAUACUCUCUUUAGUGAGGAGACUGAGAGCUGAUGACGAGUUCUGGCGAAAGCCAGAAUGAAGUGGUUGAUGCCAUGCUUCCAAGAAAAGCUUCUAAGCUUCAGAUAAUAAGGAACCGUACUGUAAACCGACACAGGUGAUCAGGUAGAGAAUACCAAGGCGCUUGAGAGAACUCGGGUGAAGGAACUAGGCAAAAUGGUACCGUAACUUCGGGAGAAGGUACGCUCUCAAUGGUGAUGGGACUUGCUCCCUAAGCUGAGGAGAGUCGAAGUGACCAGGUGGCUGCAACUGUUUAUUAAAAACAUAGCACUCUGCAAACUCGUGAGAGGAAGUAUAGGGUGUGACGCCUGCCCGGUGCCGGAAGGUUAAUUGAUGGGGUUAUCUUCGGAGAAGCUCUUGAUCGAAGCCCCGGUAAACGGCGGCCGUAACUAUAACGGUCCUAAGGUAGCGAAAUUCCUUGUCGGGUAAGUUCCGACCUGCACGAAUGGCGUAACGAUGGCCACACUGUCUCCACCCGAGACUCAGUGAAAUUGAAAUUGCGGUUAAGAUGCCGUAUACCCGCGGCUAGACGGAAAGACCCCGUGAACCUUUACUAUAGCUUCACACUGGACUCUGACUUUACUUGUGUAGGAUAGCUGGGAGGCUUUGAAGCGAUGGCGCUAGCUGUUGUGGAGCCAACCUUGAAAUACCAGCCUGGUAACGUUGGGGUUCUAACCUAGGUCCAUUAUCUGGAUCGGGGACAGUGUGUGGUGG
rnacentral:rRNA from 1 species